CCGCACGGGUGAGUAACACGUAUCCAACCUGCCGUCUACCCUUGGACAGCCUUCUGAAAGGAAGAUUAAUACAAGAUGGCAUCAUGAGUCCGCAUGUUCACAUGAUUAAAGGUAUUCCGGUAGACGAUGGGGAUGCGUUCCAUUAGAUAGUAGGCGGGGUAACGGCCCACCUAGUCUUCGAUGGAUAGGGGUUCUGAGAGGAAGGUCCCCCACACUGGAACUGAGACACGGUCCAA
rnacentral:rRNA from 1 species